UGAGGAAUUUUGCACAAUGGGGGCAACCCUGAUGCAGCGACGCCGCGUGCGGGAUGAAGGAGCUUUGCUCUGUAAACCGCUGUCGAAUGGGAAGAAAAGAAUCUUAUGGGUUCUGGGACUGUACCAUUAAAGGAAGCACCGGCUAACUACGUGCCAGCAGCCGCGGUAAUACGUAGGGUGCGAGCGUUGUCCGGAAUUACUGGGUGUAAAGGGUGCGCAGGCGGACUUGUGCGUCGGAGGUUAAAGAUCUCGGCUUAACCGAGGGAGUGCCUUCGAAACGGCAAGUCUUGAAUAUGAGAGAGGAUGAUAGAAUUCCUGGUGUAGCGGUGAAAUGCGUAGAUAUCAGGAGGAAUACCGGUGGCGAAGGCGGUCAUCUGGCUCAUAAUUGACGCUCAGGCAC
rnacentral:rRNA from 1 species